rnacentral:rRNA from 1 species
UGGGGAAUAUUGCACAAUGGGCGAAAGCCUGAUGCAGCGACGCCGCGUGAGUGAAGAAGUAUUUCGGUAUGUAAAGCUCUAUCAGCAGGGAAGAAAAUGACGGUACCUGACUAAGAAGCCCCGGCUAACUACGUGCCAGCAGCCGCGGUACUACGUAGGGGGCAAGCGUUAUCCGGAUUUACUGGGUGUAAAGGGAGCGUAGACGGCGAAGCAAGUCUGAAGUGAAAACCCAGGGCUCAACCCUGGGACUGCUUUGGAAACUGUUUUGCUAGAGUGUCGGAGAGGUAAGUGGAAUUCCUAGUGUAGCGGUGAAAUGCGUAGAUAUUAGGAGGAGCACCAGUGGCGAAGGCGGCUUACUGGACGAUAACUGACGUUGAGGCUCGAAAGCGUGGGGAGCAAACAGG